CCUACGGGUGGCAGCAGUGAGGAAUAUUGGUCACUGGCCGGAAGUCUGAACCAGCAAUGCCGCGUGAGGGACGACGGCUCUAUGUGUUGUAAACCGCUUUUGUACGGGGAUAAACGCAUCUACGUGUAUCUGUCUGAAAGUAUCGUCCGAAUAAGGAUCGGCUAACUCAGUGCCAGCAGCCGCGGUAAUACGGAGGAUUCAAGCGUUAUCCGGUUUUAUUGGGUGUAAAGGGUGCGUAGGCGGUCGGUUAAGUUAGAUGUGAAAUCCCGGGGCUUAACCUCGGUAUUGCCUCUGAUAGUGGUCGGCUAGAGAGUAGUAGCGGGAGGCGGAAUGCAAGGUGUAGCGGUGAAAUGCGGAGAGAGCA
rnacentral:rRNA from 1 species